rnacentral:tRNA from 1 species
GGCGAAGUGGCAGAGCGGCCGAAUGCACCGGACUGUAAAUCUGGCUCCACAAGACACGUUGGUUCGAAUCCAACCUUCGCCACCA